ensembl:lncRNA
UGCUUCUUGUGGUGUCUGUCUCAAUUUUUUUUUCUUGCUCUUGUUUUAACACAGAUGGCCUCAGAUGUAGCCAGUUGCCCUUCCCAUAUGGACCCUGUUCCCCGAGGGGGUUGAGGAAGGAGAUUAGUUAUUUACUUAAGAAAUAGUUAUUCUUACUGCUUUCCCUGGCUUGUCGCUGUCUCAGUGCAGUUGUCCUUUGUGGCUAAUGGUUAGCCUAUUAUUGUGCCUGUAUGAUAUCUGCAUCAAAACCUUACACUUCUGAAGAAAUUCCAAGAGAACCCUACAAGAAACAACAAAAAAAGGAAGCUAUACUGUUAGCCGCACACUGACGUCGGUUUCCCUGGUGCCGUUCGAUCCGUAUCGGCAGUUGGGCUCAGCUCAACAGCCAGGGUAGCUCGCUGUGUAGCGACUUUAGAAGGGGCAGGACGCAGUUUUACAGCAGAUACGUCCCACAGCCCAGUGUUAACCACCAGAUGAGGCUGAUAAAAACCAAAGUACAGCUCUGACACGGGACACCCACCCUAAUCAUCAGGGGUGUGGUGGAACAGCCUCAAUUUGUCGGGGCAUGGACUCCACAAGGUGUUGAAAGUGUUCUACAGGGAUUCUGGCCCACGUUGAUUCCAAUGCUUCCUACAGUUGUGUCAAGUUGGCUGGAUAUCCUUUGGGUAGGGGACCGUUCAGCAUGAAAAACCCAGCAGCGUUGCAGUUCUUGACGCACUCAAACCAUUUCGCCUGGCACCUACUACCAUACCCCAUUCAAAGGCACUUCAAUAUUUUUUUGUCCCCAUUCACUCUUUGAAUGGCACACCUAAUUCAUGUCUCAAUUGUCUUGACGAUUGUCUCGAUUUAACUGAGGAAACACUGACAGACCAUCCAUACUACAGCCUACAGAUAAAGGAAGUGUCCAUGCACAACAUUACUGUCUGAUAGGGCUCCUGGAAUGUUUGGGUG